rnacentral:rRNA from 12 species
GCCAGCAGCCGCGGUAAUACGGAGGGUGCAAGCGUUAAUCGGAAUUACUGGGCGUAAAGCGCGCGUAGGUGGUUUGAUAAGCGAGAUGUGAAAGCCCCGGGCUCAACCUGGGAACGGCAUUUCGAACUGUCAGGCUAGAGUAUGGUAGAGGAGUGUGGAAUUUCCUGUGUAGCGGUGAAAUGCGUAGAUAUAGGAAGGAACACCAGUGGCGAAGGCGGCUCACUGGCUCGAUACUGACGCUGAGGUGCGAAAGUGUGGGGAGCAAACAGGAUUAGAUACCCUGGUAGUCCACGCCGUAAACGAUGUCAACUAGCCGUUGGGACUCUU